rnacentral:rRNA from 1 species
GACGAACGCUGGCGGCGUGCUUAAUACAUGCAAGUGGAGCGACGAACCAGGCUUCGGCCUGGGGCAGAGCCGCGAACGGGUGAGUAACACGUGGGUAACCUGCCUCGAUGACCGGGACAACCCGGGGAAACCCGGGCUAAUACCGGAUGUGCUGUCCCCACAUCAGUGGAGACAGGAAAGGAAGCUUCGGCCUCCGCAUCGAGAUGGGCCCGCGGCCCAUUAGCUUGUUGGUGUGGUAACGGCUCACCAAGGCUGCGAUGGGUAGCUGGUCUGAGAGGACGAUCAGCCACACUGGGACUGAGACACGGCCCAGACUCCUACGGGA